AUAUUUAAAAAGGUAAUUCAAAAUAUCUAACUAAUCCCAUAUUUUGUUUUUCUUUCAAGCGCAGGGGGUUGAGGGGAGAAAAAAAAAAUUUUCUAUUAAGAUAGCUUGUGGUUUUUGUUUAGUUUUAAGAAGUGAAAAAAAAAAUUCUCUAUUAAGAUUGCUUGUGGUUCUUGUUUAGUUUUACUACCAUACCCUUGUAUAAGGAAUAUCGUGUUGUCAUGCAAAGCUGCUUGCAUAGUAUGCCUCAACUCUUUGAUUAUAUUUUUUUCUAAAAUUUUUUUGAAAAAUUAUUUUUCAUUAAGAAGUACAGUUAUGCUAUUCCUAAUAAGAUGCUUUAAAUAUGUUAUCAAUCCGUAUAAGAAUAAAAUUUAAUUGAUCCUACAGAAACAUGAUGUAUCAUUUGCUUCAAAUCUAACUUCUGACGAUCAAGAUAAUG
rnacentral:lncRNA from 1 species